CAGUCUUAUCAGUGUCACAUGAGAUGUGAUGACGAUGUGAGGGUCAUAGAUUUGACUGUUUUUGUCAGACUAUCCCGUUGAAGACACUAGAUGCGUCGCUGCUGCUGUUGUUGUUACCAUUAUUGCAGGAAAGGAGAACACCAAUGUGGAAAAGAUGUUGUUCACGUCAAAACUGAACGCAUUUCUAGAGGGACAUCUGUCACCGUUGCACUUGUGUCUCAGACAAAAGAGCGGCAUGUUUAGAAAGCCUCUGAAAAAACAUAUCUCCAGACUUAUGGUGACUUAGAGAAACAUUUGAUCGUGUGUGUGUGACUGGAGCGGCUGAGGUGUCCGGAUGUCUCGGGGCGAGUGUGGGGUCAGGACGUCCUGCUGGAGGUGAAGGACGGAGCGCUGCUGCUCACCGACAUCCACACCGAGGAGGGCCUGGAGUCGUGGCAGUUAAGCAGUCUUCUGGAUCUGAAGGCUGUUCUAGAUGAGUCCAGCGUCUCAGUGCUUCUCACAGUAAACCAGAUUUUCAUGUGUUCUUCAGGCCGAUUAUCUGAAGAAAGACCUGGAGCGGCUCCUGCAGAUCAAGAGAGAGGAUCACAGACUGACGAACGGCAGGUUAGAAGAAGAACAUCAGCUCGUCUGCUCGGUAAUCAUCUUGACGUAUCACGCUGAUGAGAUCUGUGAUCUGAUUCUGCAGUAAAGGUGCAUCUCCUCCACCUGAUUCCUCAGAAACCUCCCGAACACUGGGCCGCUCCGGAUUAUGAUGAGAGUCCGGUCCCGACUCCUCCCACCUCCAGAAAUAACUCCGCCUACAUAAAGGUAGUGGCUCCGCCCCCUCACACAGAAGAACCGCCCAUUAAACUGGACCCGCCCCCUCCGCAGCCGUACACAGAGAGGGAGAGGAAUUAAGUGUUAAGUGUUAAUGGGGACAUCCUGAAUCACCUCAUUACUGACAUCGAGGCGUUUGCUGGCCAGAACACAAGCAAACGAGAGCCAGCUCGAGCGCCUGUAACACAACAAACGUACGGUGCGGUGUUUAGGAGGCGUCAGCGGCUCAGUGCUUCUGGGGAUGACUCUAGACGAGCUCAAGACCCUCUGUCCGGAGGAGGGAGGACGAGUCUCCAUCCAGCUGCUGAUCAUCAAAUCAGCUCUCGCGAUGACCAGUGAAGUGAGGCCGAUGAUCUGAGCUCAAUCACUCAAUAUGAUUGCUAUUCCUGCUGUCCUCUUCCUUCUGGACCUGAAGAAUCCCUAUUUUAUAAAACAGUCAUAACGUCAUAGCUUUCACCUAAAACUAAAUUGUAUUUGAUCAGCAAUUUGAGUGAAUGUGAAGACAUUUCUUCUUUUAAAAAGAUUAAAAUAUGAAGAAAUUCUUUGAAAUGUAAAAAGACCACAAAAUGAAUUACAAAUUAUGCAAAAAAAUAUAUUUAUUUUUUGUCAACAUUGAUGCAAAUUUACAUUUGAAACCAUGAUUGUAUGAAAUUUAUAGGAUCAUAUAUUCUGAUUAUUAUCAGUGUUAACCCAGUUAAAUGAAUGGAAUUGUAUUAAUAACUCAUGAUUGCUCAAGAACAGUCCAUAUUUAUAAAACCUACUUAUUUAUUUCUAACAAAACAGUAUAAAUAUUCCUCUGAAUUUUCUAAAUAAAUUAAUUU